AAUAUUAUAUAGUGUAAGAUCCAUCUGCUAGAACGAAAACAUUUACAUUAUAAAAAGAAAAAGAAAAUAAUUAAGAAAGGUUAUUUCAUUGUGAAAAUGUAUAAAUAAAUAAACUUGCAGUCUAAAUGCAUAUCCACUCUAAACAAAAAAACAAGAAACAGGCAAAAACAAAAAUAAAGUAGAGGCCUACACCAAGAGAGCUUGUUCUGG
rnacentral:misc_RNA from 1 species